ACGCUCGACACCUACGGAGGCAGCAGUGGGGAAUAUUGCACAAUGGGGGAAACCCUGAUGCAGCGACGCCGCGUGAGCGAAGAAGUAUUUCGGUAUGUAAAGCUCUAUCAGCAGGGAAGAAAAUGACGGUACCUGACUAAGAAGCCCCGGCUAACUACGUGCCAGCAGCCGUAAUCUGAGCGGGCUGGCAAGGC
rnacentral:rRNA from 1 species